CUUCAGUGGACAGAGAACACACAUGAAACCACUAAAAUAUGUCACAAGUUCAUAUUGAUGUUUCUAAUUCAUAUUGAUUAUGUUGCCUCUAUUUUGCAAUUGGAUGAAGUUAAAGCAAGGGUAUGAAUAACAUAAUAGAUAACACCAUAUUUUUAUAUUGCUAUGUCCCAAGUAUCAGAGUAAAGACUAAUUUUUAAAAAAAGAUCCACAUCUCAAACUUUCAGAACUAUAUGAUGACCAUCCAUGGAAACACUUCCAGGUCUUUCACCAAUAUUUUGUAAUUUUCUACACAAAGGUCUUGAAUAUCUUUCACUGAAAUUUUCCUCCAUAUGCUUUUCAUCAAGAUGAUUUCGAUUUGGAAGAAAGGGAAACAUUUAAUUUGUGGGCUCUCCUUUAAAGAGAAUAGGACAAUAUUCCCAUCCCAGAGAAGCCCCAGCAAGU